GAAUGCUGACAUAAGUAACGAUAAAGCGGGUGAAAAGCCCGCUCGCCGGAAGACCAAGGGUUCCUGUCCAACGUUAAUCGGGGCAGGGUGAGUCGACCCCUAAGGCGAGGCCGAAAGGCGUAGUCGAUGGGAAACGGGUUAAUAUUCCCGUACUUGGUGUUACUGCGAAGGGGGGACGGAGAAGGCUAUGUUGGCCGGGCGACGGUUGUCCCGGUUUAAGCGUGUAGGUGUGUGUUCCAGGUAAAUCCGGUUCACUUUAACACUGAGGCGUGACGACGAGGCACUACGGUGCUGAAGCAACAAAUGCCCUGCUUCCAGGAAAAGCCUCUAAGCAUCAGGUAACAUCAAAUCGUACCCCAAACCGACACAGGUGGUCAGGUAGAGAAUACCAAGGCGCUUGAGAGAACUCGGGUGAAGGAACUAGGCAAAAUGGUGCCGUAACUUCGGGAGAAGGCACGCUGACACGUAGGUGAAGUGAUUUACUCAUGGAGCUGAAGUCAGUCGAAGAUACCAGCUGGCUGCAACUGUUUAUUAAAAACACAGCACUGUGCAAACACGAAAGUGGACGUAUACGGUGUGACGCCUGCCCGGUGCCGGAAGGUUAAUUGAUGGGGUCAGCGCAAGCGAAGCUCCUGAUCGAAGCCCCGGUAAACGGCGGCCGUAACUAUAACGGUCCUAAGGUAGCGAAAUUCCUUGUCGGGUAAGUUCCGACCUGCACGAAUGGCGUAAUGAUGGCCAGGCUGUCUCCACCCGAGACUCAGUGAAAUUGAACUCGCUGUGAAGAUGCAGUGUACCCGCGGCAAGACGGAAAGACCCCGUGAACCUUUACUAUAGCUUGACACUGAACAUUGAGCCUUGAUGUGUAGGAUAGGUGGGAGGCUUUGAAGUGUGGACGCCAGUCUGCAUGGAGCCGACCUUGAAAUACCACCCUUUAAUGUUUGAUGUUCUAACGUGGACCCGUUACCCGGGUUGCGGACAGUGUCUGGUGGGUAGUUUGACUGGGGCGGUCUCCUCCUAAAGAGUAACGGAGGAGCACGAAGGUUGGCUAAUCCUGGUCGGACAUCAGGAGGUUAGUGCAAUGGCAUAAGCCAGCUUGACUGCGAGCGUGACGGCGCGAGCAGGUGCGAAAGCAGGUCAUAGUGAUCCGGUGGUUCUGAAUGGAAGGGCCAUCGCUCAACGGAUAAAAGGUACUCCGGGGAUAACAGGCUGAUACCGCCCAAGAGUUCAUAUCGACGGCGGUGUUUGGCACCUCGAUGUCGGCUCAUCACAUCCUGGGGCUGAAGUAGGUCCCAAGGGUAUGGCUGUUCGCCAUUUAAAGUGGUACGCGAGCUGGGUUUAGAACGUCGUGAGACAGUUCGGUCCCUAUCUGCCGUGGGCGCUGGAGAACUGAGGGGGGCUGCUCCUAGUACGAGAGGACCGGAGUGGACGCAUCACUGGUGUUCGGGUUGUCAUGCCAAU
rnacentral:rRNA from 1 species